AACGGGGGUCCCAAACGUUGUCCGGUAUUAUUGGGCGUAAAGAGUUCUGUAGGCGGUAGUGUAAGUUACGGGUUAAAUCCUUCGGCUCAACCGAAGAACCGCUUGUAAUACUGCAUUACUAGAAAUAUACAGGGGAGGGCGGAACGCAUGGUGUAGCGGUAAAAUGCGUUGAUAUCAUGCGGAACACCGAAGGCGUAGGCAGCCCUCUGGGUAUUAUUUGACGCUAAGAGACGAAAGCGUGGGGAGCAAAACGG
rnacentral:rRNA from 1 species